AAGAUUUUGUGAAGAGGAAAAAGAUCCUUCAGAUCAUAAGACUUGAUGACAAAUCACUGACUUGUGGCAGCCAAGCGUUCAUAGCGACGUUGCUUUUUGAUCCUUCGAUGUCGGCUCUUCUUAUCAUACUGAAACAGAAUUCAGUAAGCGUUGGAUUGUUCACCCACUAAUAGGCACCGUGAGCUGGGUUUAGACCUUCGUGAGACAGGUUAGUUUUACCCUACUGAUGAAAUGUUGUUGCAAUAGUAAUUGAACUUAGUACGAGAGAAACCGUUCAUUCGGAUAAUUGGUAUUUGGGCCUGCCUGAGCAGGCAAUGGCCCGAAGCUAUCAUCCGUUGGGUUAUGGCUGAACGCCUCUAAGUCAGAACCCGUGUUAGAACGCGACGAUUACCGCCUUUUCCGAUUUUUAGUUGAAUACGAAUAGAUCCUCGGAUCCUGAAUCAUACUACGUGGGAUUAUCUUGCAGAGCGGAAAGGUUUUGUGAGGUUCCUGCUAAUGUUAAUUUCAAAUACUGGAAGAAAUAAAUCUAUUGCAGACGACUUUAAUUGAACGGGGUAUUGUAAGCAGUAGAGUAGCCUUGUUGUUACGAUCUGUUGAGAUUAAGCCCAUUGUUCUAUAGAUUU
rnacentral:ncRNA from 1 species